AUUGAACGCUGGCGGCAGGCCUAACACAUGCAAGUCGAACGAGUGGCGGACGGGUGAGUAAUGUCUGGGAAACUGCCUGAUGGAGGGGGAUAACUACUGGAAACGGUAGCUAAUACCGCAUACCAUAAGAUGUGCCCAGAUGGGAUUAGCUAGUUGGUGGGGUAACGGCUCACCAAGGCGACGAUCCCUCGCUGGUCUGAGAGGAUGACGACACAAACUGGAACGGGGACACGGUCCAAACUCCUACGGGAGGCGGCAGUGGGGAAUAUUGCACAAUGGGCGCAGGACUGGUGCAGCCAGGCCGCGUGUAUGAAGAAGGCCUUCGGGUUGUAAAGUGCUUUCAGCGGGGAGGCGUUACCCGCAGAAGAAGCACCGGCUAACUCCGUGCCAGCCGCCGCGGUAAUUC
rnacentral:rRNA from 1 species